rnacentral:rRNA from 1 species
UACGUAGGGUGCAAGCGUUGUCCGGAAUUAUUGGGCGUAAAGAGCUCGUAGGCGGUCUGUCACGUCGGCUGUGAAAACCCGAGGCUCAACCUCGGGCCUGCAGUCGAUACGGGCAGACUAGAGUUCGGUAGGGGAGACUGGAAUUCCUGGUGUAGCGGUGAAAUGCGCAGAUAUCAGGAGGAACACCGGUGGCGAAGGCGGGUCGCUGGGCCGGUACCGACGCUGAGGAGCGAAAGCGUGGGGAGCGAACAGG